GCUAGGAUAGCUCAGUCAGUAGAGCAUGAGACUCUUAAAUCUCAGGGUCGUGGGUUUGAGCCCAGUGUUGGGCA